rnacentral:lncRNA from 1 species
AACACUCUAGUCCUCAAUAUUCUAAUAUUUUACAUUUCAGUGUACAAAGUAAACAUUAUUUUGACCAUUUUUUUCCAUUUUCCUAUGUAUUUAUAACCACCAACAAGAGAAUAUUUAAUGUUUUGACGAAAUGUUUAAGGUCACUGAACAAUCAUAUACUUCCCAUUGACUAUUAAGGUCACUUCGCACAGUUUCAGCUUGCACAGCCGUUGGUGCAGCCCCAUACUGCCAUGCAGAGUGAGGUCUGACCUGCAGAAGGGAAAGCUCUUGCUAUCCCUGCCGCUGUAAAUGGAACUGAUGCCAUGGGGGGAGCAGCGGUGCAACUACACAUGUUUUUACUGUUUACGUUUCGUGAGGUAUGAAAUACUAUGUGAGUUAAGCUUGAUCAUUGUGUGGGUUUGAUUCAACAAGAAAGUAUCUGUAUCUCUUUCAUCAUAUUAAACUUUUUCCCAAAAUACUAUUAAAUAUUAGUAUUAUUAACUGUGUUUUCAAAAUGGAUAAUCAGGUGAUAAUUUAGAAGGAUUUUCAGCCUAGGCAGCAAAUUCCUAUAGAGUUUGUAAAUUCUGAAACUGCAAUUUGAUGCUUUGAUGGCAAUUCAAGCAUGUGUUACUAUAAAAGCCACCAAACAUUCAUUUAUUUACAGGCAUAUUUAUAAUACACAUGUCUAAAAGAUUAGGCUGGAGCCACACUGUGGAUGGACUUCAGUGCCAGCCUGGGGAAUGCGUACCUAAUUUGGAAAAAAAUAGCAGAAAUAUUAGUGGUGUUACUCUUAGAAUGUUAGUAGCUGACACUUUAUAGGACUUAACCUUGUGCCAAGUACUAUUUUAAGCACUCCAAGUGUAUUAAUUUUAUUCUCACCUUUACCAGGUAUUACUAUUAUUAUUCCCAUAUUACAGAUGGAGAAACUGAGACAUAUAAAGACUAUGUAAUUUGAUGAAAUACACACAACUAGGAAGUGGCAAUGCUGGAAUUUACACCCAGGCCAGCUGGUAUAGAGUAUGCUGUCUCCCUCUGUACCACAUCACACCAUAUACAUCAUAAACUAUGCGAUGACAUUCCCCAUUCCUCUCCAAUAUACUCUACCACACCGUCUUCAGAGGCCUUCUAUAACUCAAGACAAGUCCCUCCGACUCAACUCCCUGCUCAGGCUCAAGUGCUCCGCGGCGGGAAAGCGCCUCCCAGCUCCGCUAACCCGGAAAGUCGGUAGACUUCCUUCCGUUCUUUUAAGCUCCUGCGCAACCACAGCUGACAUCUUUUAAAGAAUAAAAAUUUUAAUUUAUCUGAUUUUGUUAAUUGU